CCUACGGGUGGCAGCAGUGAGGAAUAUUGGUCAAUGGACUAGAGUCUGAACCAGCCAAGUAGCGUGAAGGAUGACUGCCCUAUGGGUUGUAAACUUCUUUUAUAUGGGAAUAAAACAGGGUAUGCAUACCCUCUUGUAUGUACCUUAUGAAUAAGGAUCGGCUAACUACGUGCCAGCAGCCGCGGUCAUACGUAGGAUUCGAGCAUUAUCCGGAGUGACUGGGUGUAAAGAGUUGCGUAGGUUGCAUAAUAAGUAGCUAGUGAAAUCUGGUGGCUCAACCAUUCAGACUAUUGGCUAAACUGUUAAGCUCGAGACCGUUAGGGGUAACGGGAAUUUCUAGUGUAGGAGUGAAAUCCGUAGAUAUUAGAAGGAACACCAAUAGCGUAGGCAGGUUGCUGGGACGGUUCUGACACUAAGGCACGAAAGCGUAGGGAGCAAACGGGAUUAGAUACCCCUGUAGUC
rnacentral:rRNA from 1 species